UUAAGAGAUGGAGUUCCCAUCUAAGUACAAUUAGACGCAUCAAUGUACUCAACACAAUACGAAAGACUUGACAUCUCAUUCGCUAUGAAAAGUUGUAAAGCUAAGUGUAGCUAUGCGCCUACGCAACGCCAAUGUAAUGGCAGUAACUCCUUUUUCAAUACUUAAUGGUAUGGAAGGUUGAGGCUGAUUCUAUCCCUACAUAAGAAAGACACAUCAAAAGCGAAAUCAGAAUCUGCCAAGUUUUGUAGGUCAACUUCCACGGGACCUAUAGGAAAGCUCACUCACUGGAAAAUGGUGAAAUUGGUACCAUUGGAAAGGUCUAUGUGUCUACUUUCCAGAGACAUCAACCAUUUGAUCAUACCUAUCAUAUUGAGUGAGUUAUGGCCGUUUUCGUAAAGUAGGACGAAUCUGUCCGAGAAUCUGAUUUUGGCAAAACAGUCAACUUCGACGGGACUUUGUGAACAGCUCCUGAUGAACCAGAAUGUGAGUAAUAUACGGUUGGAAAGCUAAAUGAGUCUAGUUUCCAAAACCGUUUACGGUUCGUUCAUAUGUAUUUCCUAGAGGAAGUUACGACUGUUCUAGUAAUUGAAGGUCAUGCUGCGCGGAAAUCUGAUUUCCUGCACGAACUUAUGUUUUGAGUUCACAAGCGACCUUCUCCUCAAGAACUAAGUGUAAAAGAUCAUUUGAGGACAAUACGGCAUGAUUUAGUUAAUCAUUUCCCAAUGCCACAUUUGAAGACAUGUUAAAAAGCAUUGACAUGCUAAGUUGUUGAAACUUCCGUGAUUAGUAAGAAUCAGGAAGAGCCCUAUGAUUGAUGUAAAGAUCAGGGGGGUACGAACUUCAGGGGGAGUCUAGCACAUACAUACAUGUCACUAUCAAAUGUGAAGGGUGCGUUGUACUCUUUUCUCCUACGAUCAAGGUUCAGUUUUUCUCCCACAAGGUUUUUGUGACUUUGACGAGGUUUUUGACGAGGCAACAGAUCAUCACCAUCGGC
rnacentral:lncRNA from 1 species